rnacentral:rRNA from 1 species
GACGGGACCCGCACAAGCGGUGGAUGAUGUGGAUUAAUUCGAUGCAACGCGAAAACCUUACCUACCCUUGACAUGUCCGGAAUCCCGAAGAGAUUUGGGAGUGCUCGCAAGAGAACCGGAACACAGGUGCUGCAUGGCUGUCGUCAGCUCGUGUCGUGAGAUGUUGGGUUAAGUCCCGCAACGAGCGCAACCCUUGUCAUUAGUUGCUACAUUCAGUUGGGCACUCUAAUGAGACUGCCGGUGACAAACCGGAGGAAGGUGGGGAUGACGUCAAGUCCUCAUGGCCCUUAUAGGUGGGGCUACACACGUCAUACAAUGGAUGGUACAAAGGGUCGCCAACCCGCGAGGGGGAGCCAAUCCCAUAAAGCCAUUCGUAGUCCGGAUCGCAGUCUGCAACUCGACUGCGUGAAGUCGGAAUCGCUAGUAAUCGUGGAUCAGAAUGUCACGGUGAAUACGUUCCCGGGUCUU